rnacentral:rRNA from 1 species
AGAGUGGCGAAAGGGUGAGUAACGCGUAGGUAAUUUGCCCUUGAGACAGGAAUAACAUCCCGAAAGGGUUGCUAAUACCUGAUAACAUCUAUUAACCCUCGGGUUUUUAGAUCAAAUGAAGGCUCUGCUUUCGCUCAAGGAGAAACCUGCGUCCUAUUAGCUUGUUGGUGGGGUAAUGGCCUACCAAGGCGAUGAUGGGUAGCUGGUCUGAGAGGAUGGUCAGCCACAUUGGGACUGAGACACUGCCCAAACUCCUACGGGAGGCUGCAGUCGAGAAUAUUUCGCAAUGGGGGAAACCCUGACGAUGCGACGCCGCGUGGGGGAUGAAGGUCUUCGGAUUGUAAACUCCUGUUCUACAAGAAGAACGAGCAGUUAGUGAUAAGCUAACUGCUGUGACUGUAUUGUAGCAGCAAGCCCCAGCUAACUACGUGCCAGCAGCUGCGGUAAUACGUAGGGGGCAAGCGUUGUCCGGAAUUACUGGGCGUAAAGCGCACGCAGGCGGCCAUAUAAGUCGGGUAUGAAAUUGCUUGGCUUAACCAAGCAACUGUAUUCGAUACUGUGUGGCUUGAGUACGAGAGGGGAAAGUGGAAUGUACAGUGUAGCGGUGAAAUGCGUAGAGAUUGUACAGAACACCGGUAGCGAAGGCAGCUUUCUGGCUCGAUACUGACGCUGAGGUGCGAAAGUCUGGGUAGCGAACGGGAUUAGAUACCCCGGUAGUCCAGACCGUAAACGAUGGGUACUAAGUGUAGGGGAUACGACUCUUCUGUGCUGUAGCUAACGCAUUAAGUACCCCGCCUGGGGAGUACGGCCGCAAGGUUAAAACUCAAGGUAAUUGACGGGGGGCCGCACAAGCGGUGGAGCAUGUCGCUUAAUUCGAAGCAACGCGAAGAACCUUAUCCAGGGCUUGACAUAUCUCUGAUCGCCAUAGAAAUAUGGCUUUCCUUCGGGACAGAGUUACAGGUGCUGCAUGGCUGUCGUCAGCUCGUGUCGUGAGAUGUUGGGUUAAGUCCCGCAACGAGCGCAACCCUUGUCGUUAGUUGCCAUCAGGUAAUGCUGGGGACUCUAGCGAGACCGCUGGUGAAGAGCCAGAGGAAGGUGGGGAUGACGUCAAGUCCGCAUGGCCCUUAUGCCCUGGGCUGCACACGUGCUACAAUGGUCGGUACA